ensembl:lncRNA FAM86JP family with sequence similarity 86 member J, pseudogene
GCCCACGUCAUGGCGCCCGAGGAGAACGCUGGGACCUAACUCUUGCUGCAGAGUUUGCAGCGCCGCUUUCUGGCGGCGCGCGCGCUGCGCUCCUUCCCCUGGCAGGUGGGCGGCGGGGCGAGCGGAGAGGCCCGCAGGGCUCGCGGGAGUCCAGGGGCAGACGGGAUGGGUCUCCGUGCAGAAGCCCCCGACACGCCCGCCACGUGCACCCUGUGACAUCUGAAGGUCAGGCUUUCAGCUGCUGUGGCUUCCACUUCCAACUGGCUCCACGUCCCCAGGGAGAGAUCACACAGCGCUUUGCCAACACAUUCUAUUGCGUGUUUAAUGUUCCUGUGAAUGCGCCCUUGAGAUUUCUCUCUCUCCCGUCCACACAGAGCUUAGAAGCAAAAUUAACAGACUCAUCAGAUUCUGAGCUUCUGCGGGAUAUUUUGCAGAAGACUGUGAAGCAUCCUGUGUGUGUGACGCACCCGCCGUCAGUCAAGUAUGCCCGGUGCUUUCUCUCAGAACUCAUCAAAAAGGACUGUCCUAGAGCUUGGCAGUGGUGCUGGCCUCACAGCCCUGGCCAUCUGCAAGAUGUGCCGCCCCCGGGCAUACAUCUUCAGCGACUGUCACAGCCGGGUCCUCAAACAGCUCCGAGGGAAUGUCCUUCUCAAUGGCCUCUCAUUAGAGGCAGACAUCACUGCCAACUUAGCCCCAGAGUGACAGUGGCCCAGCUGGACUGGGACAUCGCGAUGGUCCAUCAGCUCUCUGCCAUCCAGCCAGAUGUUGUCAUUGCAGCAGACGUGCUGUAUUGCCCAGAAGCCAUCGUGUUGCUGGUCGGGGUCCUGCUGAGGCUGGCUGCCUGCCGGGAGCACCAGCGGGCUCCUGAGGUCUAUGUGGCCUUUACUGUCCGCAACCCAGAGACAUGCCAGCUGUUCACCACCGAGCUAGGCCAGGCCAGGAUCAGAUGGGAAGUGGAACCUCGUCAUGACCAGAAACUGUUUCCCUAUGAAGAGCACUUGGAGAUGGCAAUGCUGAACCUCACACUGUAGGACUCACACACGACUCCAAUGGGAUUGUGAGAAUCAAGUCACUCUCAAGGGAAGAGGUUUCAUAUGGGAAAGCUGAUAAAACUUUCACUGGACUGGAAUGUUUGGAGAAUGUUAAUUUCCAAAUCAGGAACUACAAACUGCCCUCUAAUAAGACAUCGGCUAUCUAAGCGUGUGGGUGCUCCCUUUCUGCCAGCAGUUCUGGUUCUUAAGGAAAUCGCCAUCACUCAGACAUGAAAACUCUGGCUCCAAAAAUAGCAUUUUCUUUGUGCAAAUAAAAACGUGUGUAUCAA